GUGAAGGAAAGGUGAAAAGGACCCCGGGAGGGGAGUGAAAGAGAACCUGAAACCCUGUGUUUACAAACUGUGGAACAGCGCAAGCUGAACCGCGUACUUUUUGUAGAACGGUCCGGCGAGUUAUAGUUGCUGGCAAGGUUAAGGACUUUAGGUCCGGAGCCGAAGCGAGAGCGAGUCUGAAGAGGGCGUACAGUCAGCAGAUAUAGACCCGAAACCGGGUGACCUAUCCAUGUCCAGGAUGAAGCUAAAGUAAAAUUUGGUGGAGGUCCGAACGCACAUCCGUUGAAAAGGGUGGCGAUGAGGUGUGGAUAGCGGAGAAAUUCCAAUCGAACCCGGAGAUAGCUGGUUCUCCUCGAAAUAGCUUUAGGGCUAGCCUCGCAAUGAGUCUUUCGCAGGUAGAGCACUGAAUUCUUGAGGGGGCGUCAAAGUCUACCAAGAGAUAUCAAACUCCGAAUGGCGGUAAGAUAUAAGCGGGAGUCAGACUGCGGGAUAUAAAUUCCGUAGUCAAAAGGGAAACAGCCCAGAUCUACAGCUAAGGUCCCAAAGUACAUGUUAAGUGGUAAAGGAUGUGGGAUUUCAUAGACAACUAGGAUGUUGGCUUAGAAGCAGCCACACAUUCAAAGAGUGCGUAAUAGCUCACUAGUCGAGAGGUCCUGCGCCGAAAAUUAACGGGGCUAAAACAUGACCCCGAAGCUUAGGGAUGGCGAAUGCCAUCGGUAGAGGAGCAUUGAAAACGAGAUGAAGCGGUACCGAAAGGAGCCGUGGAUUGUUUUGAAGAGAGAAUGCC
rnacentral:rRNA from 1 species